rnacentral:rRNA from 1 species
UGGGGAAUUUUGGACAAUGGGGGAAACCCUGAUCCAGCCAUGCCGCGUGAGGGAUGAAGGCCUUCGGGUUGUAAACCUCUUUCAGACGGAACGAAACGGUUCAGGUUAAUAGUCUGAAUUAAUGACGGUACCGUAAGAAGAAGCACCGGCUAACUACGUGCCAGCAGCCGCGGUAAUACGUAGGGUGCGAGCGUUAAUCGGAAUUACUGGGCGUAAAGCGUGCGUAGGCGGCUUCGCAAGUCAGGUGUGAAAGCCCUGGGCUCAACCUAGGAAUUGCGCUUGAAACUACGGAGCUAGAGUUUGGCAGAGGGGGGUGGAAUUCCACGUGUAGCAGUGAAAUGCGUAGAUAUGUGGAGGAACACCGAUGGCGAAGGCAGCCCCCUGGGCCAAAACUGACGCUCAGGCACGAAAGCGUGGGGAGCAAACAGGAUUAGAUACCCCCGUAGUCCCUGAGCGGGCUGGCAAGGCGCAU